rnacentral:rRNA from 1 species
AUUGAACGCUGGCGGCAGGCCUAACACAUGCAAGUCGAGCGAGCGGCGGACGGGUGAGUAAUGUAUGGGGACUGCCCGAUCGAGGGGGAUAACUACUGGAAACGGUAUCUAAUACCGCAUACUAUCGGAUAACCCAUAUGGGGUUAGCUAGUUGGUGAGGUAAUGGCUCACCAAGGCGACGAUCCCUAGCUGUUCUGAGAGGAUGAUCAGCCACACGGGGACUGAGACACGGCCAAGACUCCUACGGAGGCAGCAGUGGGGAAUAUUGCACAAUGGGCGCAAGCCUGAUGCAGCCCUGCCGCGGGUAUGAAGAAGGCCUUCGGGUUGUAAAGUACUUUCAGUCGGGAGGCGUUACCGACAGAAGAAGCACCGGCUAACUCCGUGCCAGCAGCCGCGGUAAUUC